rnacentral:lncRNA from 1 species
GCCACUUUAACUUGUCAGGAUUCUCUCUCUCUUUUUUUUUUUACACCCCUCCUGUGUGGGAAGAAAAAGUCAACUCCCUCCUAUCUUGGUGUACUUUCGCAAUUCCAACUUGUCAGGGCUCUUUUUUCUACGUCCCUCCUGUGUGGGAAUAAAAAGUCUAUCCUCUAGUUGAAUCUGGUUGACUUCUGUACAAAUGUCGAUCUCCUUGUUGAAUCUGAUCGACUUUUGUGAAAUGUCGAUCUCAGUGGUGCCUAUCGACUUUUGUCAAAAAGUCGAUUCCUUGGGUCCUUGUAUUGCUUCCUUUGCUAAAAGUCGAUUCCUGACGCUUUGGCCAAAAAGUCGAGUCCUUGUGUCAAAAAGUCGGUU